rnacentral:rRNA from 1 species
UACAGAGGUCUCGAGCGUUAGGCGGAAUCACUGGGCUUAAAGCGUGUGUAGGUGGAUCGUUAAGUCCCUUGCGAAAUCCCACGGCUUAACCGUGGAACUGCUUGGUAUACUGGCGGUCUUGAGCCAGCUAGGGGCUACCGGAACAAAUGGUGGAGCGGUGAAAUGCGUAGAUAUCAUUUGGAACGCCAAUGGUGAAAACAGGUAGCUGGGGCUGUGCUGACACUGAGACACGAAAGCCAGGGGAGCAAACGGG